ACUAAAUAAAUAUUAUAUAGAAUAUGAUGUUGCAUCAACGAUUAACUAAAUAACUGAAUGCUCGCUCCAAUAACUAUGUACUAAAAAAGUCAUAGAGCAAGGAGUUAACAUCGACCAUGAACGUUGAAAACGACGCGAUGUUCAUUUAUUCUUCCCAAUUGAAACCGACAACCGAACUAAACCGAACCGAUUGUUUUGCCACUGUUGGCGUAGAUGUUCGAUUCAUAUUGACCAGCAUCCCAAAUGGCACCGAAUGAACUACUCUAUCAGAAUCGUAAAUUGAAACGAUCGUAAAGAUUCAUGAAGCGUCGUUAAAUAACACUUAUGUUAAUGAUCGUUCGCGCACACAUACGCGUACGACGACGCACAAAAUUGUUUCAAUCUAGUAGAAAUGUGACAACCGUCGUAAUAAAAGCACAUGGACGCAUGGCUGACGGCCAACGAUACAAAAAUUCUUGCCGAUUCUAAUUUGGUCCCGAUGUCGAGGUACAAUCCUCCACGUUCCACGUAUUAUUGUUCUCGGCUCCAUUGAAUAAGGAGUUGCGGCCAUCUUCGACUAAACUUCAUUCAACGGAGCCAACACAUACCACACGCAUCAUGUGGUAACCCAAUACAAACACGUGACAAGCGCGCGAUUAUUCGGGAUGCUGUUACAGCGAAAUCACUAUCGAGUAGAUUAAGCUGAAACUAUCGAAGUUCGCGAGGAGUCGCGUAGCACCUGUUUCAAGGACCUCGGCGAACCUUGCGUUCGUGUACCGUAGCCGUCUAACCAGAAAUCAAUUUUAAUCGAUUUCAUGCUCGGCCAGCCAUCUAAACUCUUCGGUGAACCGAAUGUACGUAUUUGUUUGGAAAUUUUGAUACUUCUAUCGAGUUCUAGAUGGCUACACCAUGGACUAAGAGCUAGUACACGAUAUAACAUAAUAGGCUUCCCCUUAACCUUUCGCUAACUCGAUAUAACAGGUAAGGUUAGUAUAAUAAAGUUGAUAUAAGCAGCUUAAAAAGUGCUAGUAAAUACGCUCUAAUUUCCACUAGAGGUCGAACGUACGAGUUCCAUACGAAUUGACUACAAUUCCACAUUUUUUCAUUUUUUUUUUUUUUUUUUUUUUUUUUUUUUUUUACUGUUCGAGCAUUUUCACGCCGACUAAUUCGCAGUAGAAUUAUCGUAUCGAUACCAAAUAUGUAUAAAACAAUCGUUACGUUAUAACGUGGACAACGGCAAUCCAUGCAAAUGUGUUGCACACGUAUCACGAUGCCAUUUAGUGAGCCAUUAAUCGCAUGGGUUGAAAAUUAUCAGGCUCUUAUAUUUGAUACAGCGUAAAACCAAGAAACGAGCAUUCUUCCGACAAAGACUAUCGACUGCAUCGAUAAAGAAUUUCCGUGACAUAAUCGAGAAUCUACACGCGACCGAUAAUUCACAUGCAGAAGAAAGUGUUCCAUGAACGAAUCACGUACAUGUCUAGAAUGUUGUCCAUCGUUUAAAUGGCGCCAUUUAUAAGUUGUCGUUUAAAAUGACGAGUGGCUACAGAAGCGUCGAAAACAUAUUUCAAGCGCAUAAUAGACGAUACUUCUCUAAGAAUACAGACGAUCGUAUAUUUCGAUAAAAAUAUUAGUUAUUCUUGAUUCACAAGGUAAGUCUUCACAUUCUACACGAUGACUAUAGUGCCGGUCAAUUACAUAUGUACGUGUGUGUAGUCGUACAAUUUCAUUUCGUAAUAAUUUCAUUUCGUUCCUGUCGGAUUUCAUUUCGAGUUCGCAACUUUAUUGACGUAUAUACAUAUAUAUAUACACACACACGCGCACACACGCACAUACACACACACAACUGAGGAUACGAUCGUGAUCGACUACAGCGAUAAACGACAUAUCGAUAAUCUCCAUGAUGUAAAAAAAGGAUGAAAGACGCGCUACGUUGCAGUUCGAUAUGUCACGCGCGAUAAUCGAUAACUCUCUUCAACGACUAACCCUAUACGGAAAAGGGUUAAAUAGAUGAUCGUGAACAGUGGCGUUCGCGAGAAGGCAAUCACGUGUUUGACCCACGAUCGACGGAACACGCAUCGCGGGUCAUGCAAUACAGUCACGACUCCGCGCGUCAUCGCGUGUAUUGACAAAAUGUUUUCUAUUGCAUAUCACAUGCAAGGCGGUACACGGUGAUACGGCCUUAACUUGGAUUACAUGCAGAGACGACGUAGAUCAACGUCUUUCGUGAUAACAGACCCACAGAAAAAAAAAAAAAAAUAAAAAGGAAAA